AUCCCCUUGAUUUUUAUUGAAUUGUCUUAGAGAAGUACAAAGAGAAAGUUGAUGUUGUUUAUGGGCUUGUUAUAAGCUGUCUUUAUUAUGUUUUUGUAUGUCCCUUGUUUCCCUGAUCUCUCCAGGGCUUUCUCAAAGGUCUUUUCUGCAGCUAAUGAGAUGGUCAUGUAUUAUUUCUUUUAGUUUACUUAUAUGGUGGAUUACAUUUGUUGAUUUUAGUACCUUGAAUCGUCUUUGCAUCCAUGGGAUGAAGCCUACUUGAUCAUCACUGGUGAUCUUUUGGAUUCAGUUUGAUCCACUUCUCAAGGGUAGAAAAAGAGGCUCAAGGUUUGCAGCUGAGAAACAGCACAUGAUCACAGUCCCUCUGAACCACGUCACAGUGAAAACCAAGCUGCAAACUGUGAAAUACCACAAGCAAACUUCAGGCCUUUCAGAGGCUCUGCACUGUUAAAAUAAUUUAUGGAGCUCUGAACUGUUUAAUAAGUAUGUUGAGUAAGGUAGUGGUAUCUAUAAGACAGCAUGUAGCUAUAUAGUAUAAUGGCAGGUUUUCACUAAUGCUCAGUAACAACCGAGUUGUGACAAUAUUGUGCGGGUUGCUGUGUUUCUGUUGUCAUAUUGUCAUUCUUUAUCACACAAGGUAAACUACUCUGCUGUUUCUCAAAGUCAACUAUGAAGUGAUAUGAGGGGCAACUAUGGAAACACACACGGGGUGACCUGGAUCAUGCUCGAAUCUGGAGACUAGUGACCCCCAAAUCCUCAUUGCAGAUAGAAUGAAGUUCAAGGGUUGUCUAUAGAAUUGAGAACUUGUGAGAGAGAAGAUGCAAGUUUCGCCUCAUGGAAGUGGAAGUGUUACAGAAAGCCUCUGGCUUACACCAUAGAAACAUUGCUCAGCUUAACAGCCAAGCGCUCUCAGAGUCCAGAAUUGAUUAAAAUAGAGUGCACUAAUGUGUCUACCUGCUCCAGGACAGUUGCCACGCUGGCCAUUUCAUGCCAUUCAUCAAAAUGAUCUUAUUUAAGGAACACUGAAACAAAGAUAGACCAUUCUCAAGCUGUUUUUUAUCUAUCCUUUCCUGUCUUAUAAAUUGUUUUCAGUAUUAGUUGCUUACAUGUGUUGAAUUAUUACUCUUUUUGUAUGGAACAUUUUUGUGAAUAUUAAUUCUUUGGGGUUGUUUGCUGGUACUUCAGUAAUUACUUGCAUUCGUAUAAUACUAUAAAAUUAUGCAUGCAAAUUGUGUUAAAUAAAAUAUUUUUAUAUAAAA